rnacentral:rRNA from 1 species
GGUUGAUCCUGCCAGUAGUCAUAUGCUUGUCUUGAGAAAUCUUUGGGACAUAAGAGUAACCUGAAAGGGAAGCUAGUCUUUAUAAUAUAAAGGCAACACCUUCAAAUUGCGGGAACACCCUAAAGCCUUUGAUACCAAGCUAUAAUGGAAACAUAUAUAGUGGCCAGGGUAAUGACCUCGGGUAUGGUAAAAACUCAAAGGAUGUUACAAUGGGCAAUCCGCAGCCAAGCUCUAAGGUAGGCAGUUUUCACAAACUCCUGCUAUGGGUGCAGUUCACAGACUAAAUGUGGGUG